rnacentral:other from 1 species
GGUCUGCUGCACGGUGCGUCAGGCAGCUAAUGUCCCUGGGGCGAUAUUUCUCCUAUUGGGAGCUGUCUCUGGUGGGGCUCUGGCCCCAUUACAUGGCGCCCACCUGACAAGUCAGGCCACGGAGGACUUACAACGCCAACGGCCGAGGCGGCGCCGC